AAUAUUGGACAAUGGGGGCAACCCUGAUCCAGCCAUGCCGCGUGUGUGAAGAAGGUCUUCGGAUUGUAAAGCACUUUAAGUUGGGAGGAAGGGCAGUAAGUUAAUACGUUGCUGUUUUGACGUUACCGACAGAAUAAGUACCGGCUAACUACGUGCCAGCAGCCGCGGUAAUGCGAAGGGUGCAAGCGUUAAGCGGAAUUAUUGGGCGUAAAGCGCGGGUAGGUGGUUUGUUAAGUUAGAAGUGAAAGCCCCGGGCUCAACCUGGGAACUGCUUUCAAAACUGGCAAGCUAGAGUAUGGCAGAGGGUGGUGGAAUUUCCUGUGUAGCGGUGAAAUGAGUAGAUAUAGGAAGGAACACCAGUGGCGAAGGCGACUACCUGGACUGAUACUGACACUGAGGUGCGAAAGCGUGGGGAGCAAAC
rnacentral:rRNA from 1 species